rnacentral:rRNA from 1 species
UACGUAGGGUGCAAGCGUUGUCCGGAAUUAUUGGGCGUAAAGAGCUCGUAGGCGGUCUGUCGCGUCGGCUGUGAAAACUCGGGGCUCAACUCCGAGCUUGCAGUCGAUACGGGCAGGCUAGAGUUCGGCAGGGGAGACUGGAAUUCCUGGUGUAGCGGUGAAAUGCGUAGAGAUCCGGAAGAACACCGGUGGCGAAGGCGGCCUGCUGGGCAGUAGCUGACGCUGAGGCGCGACAGCGUGGGGAGCAAACAGG